AAGACAUUGGUUUUCAAACACAUUUCCAAUUCUUAUUUAGUAGGAGGAACAGAAGACCCCAUACCUUAUCAGCAAUAAAUUAUUCUCCUGUUAAACUUGGUGCUAAACAAGGAGCUGCAGUCCUAUUAAAAUCCAAUUAAACAUGCAUCACAUUUGAUAGAUAUAAUUAGAACAACUGUAGAGGGUAAAUGGCUCCAAGCACUGUAGCUGGAAGAAAUGUAGAUCAGUGUUAAAAGGGAAAAUAAUAGACAAUAUGUUGGGGAUUUGUUGCUGUAAUGAUACCUUCUUUAUUGUAGCAAUUUUAUUUAUUACCUUUUAUCUAUUUUUAAUAGUUUCUCCAACUUGCUCGGAAAGGAUUGUUUUGCUUUCCUGUUUGUUCCCACUAAUAAGGAUACUAUGUAUGUCUGCUUUCAUUGGGUAAAUCAGACAGUGCAGGAAUAAAAUAGCAGAUCUUGCAAUAGUGCUCCAAAUCUUACAGUGCUAGAAAUAUUUUAAAGCAAUUUUUCAAGUUUUUAAUGUUCAUUCCUUAUUGUAUCAUAUACAAUUCAGACACAGAGCUAUUUGUCUUUCCCGCAAGGAUGCAAUCACUAGGAAUUACCAAUCUAGAGAAUGCAAGGAUUAGGCAGAUAUGUAGUCUUUGGAUACCUUAUUUUUUUCAUCUGUUCUUCCUCAAUAGCUAUAACAGCCUCUUUGCUGAAUCCUUCUCAGUGGUUCUUAGAAAUAGUGCAUAUGCCUCCUAUCCUAUUUUUUGUAAUCAAACUGUGGAAAAUAUAUUUGUUUGACUUUACAUGUGGUUAUAAACCAAAAGCUUCUUUUUUAUUGAGGUUAAAAAGAAAUGUUUCAAGCAGAACCAUGACCAGUGCAGAAUAUAUAUGGGUAAAAAAAAAUACAGUAAACAGAAGCAUAUAAAACAUAAAUAGAAUAUUAACCAUAAGCUUACUUGCACUGACUACCUAAUGUUAAAAUUAAAUAUUCAUAUUAUGAAUAUCAUGAGACAACUGGGACAAAUCAAAGGGGACACUGCUUGAACAUGUUUAUUUGUUUAUUCUCACGUGUUAAGUAACAGCUCAUUUUACCUAUUAAGUUUUACAAAACCAAAAUGUUAAAUCUUUCUUAAUUAUCCUUAUAAUUGCUGUUCCUGGUCUAUGAUCAUGAAUAUGGUCUUAGUAAAAUUAACAGUUCAUUAUUUGUAUAUCGAUUCAGUGAUAUAUCAUAUGGAAUUUUUAAAAAAAGAACAUAAAGAAUUUGGGCACUUGAAGACUUGAAAUUAGGACAUUAGCAUUGUCAUGGUCCCCUUUCUCUUUUAACCUGUUUCCCUACAAUUGACUUUCCUUUCUCCUACUGGGGGAUCAUUCCUUCCACAAAAUAGAACCAUAGUAGCUCUUAAAUAAUUCCAGCAUAGUUAGCCCAAAGGGGAGGGGAAAGUUUUCCUAUCAACUCCACAGGGAGAGAAUUUAGACCAGCCCUGAUUGGCACAAGUGUACAGUCAUUGUGACCAUGAUUAGCUCAAACCAUGUCCUAUGCCCACUCAUGAUUAAGGAGUAUGACUUACCUGGAAGUAGUGUUAGAAACUGGGAUGACAGAAAGGAAAAGCCAUGAUAUUAGGUCUGUUUUGUGAAGUUACUGCUGGCUAGGCUUUGAGACUUCCCUGUCUUCAUGGACCCUCUAGGCUUUCCAUGCACAUUCUACACUCAUGGACUUCUCACCUGUGGUUAACAGUGAGCAAACCCUUCCUGUUCCCUCAGUUGCAAGGGAAGGUGAAAAGAAAUGCAUUUUUUUUAACUAGGAUUUUUGUCUUUCUCAAUCCUAUUUCUUUCCCCGAUUCUCCAUAGAAUACCUUGUGCUUUACUGUUUUAUUCUCUAGUUGUACCUCUGUCCUUCUGUCUUCAAUAUAACAUUUCUAUAGUACAACCUUUUCACUGCAACAUUAAUAAAUAUAUGAUUAUAUUACUUUGCAUAACUUCAUUAUGCAAAGCAAUGUUAAGCAGAAGUGACA
rnacentral:lncRNA from 1 species